GACGAACGCUGGCGGCGCGCUUAACACAUGCAAGUCGAACGGAAAGGCCCUGCUUUUGUGGGGUGCUCGAGUGGCGAACGGGUGAGUAACACGUGAGUAACCUGCCCUUGACUUUGGGAUAACUUCAGGAAACUGGGGCUAAUACCGGCUAGGAGCUCCUGCUGCAUGGUGGGGGUUGGAAAGUUUCGGCGGUUGGGGAUGGACUCGCGGCUUAUCAGCUUGUUGGUGGGGUAGUGGCUUACCAAGGCUUUGACGGGUAGCCGGCCUGAGAGGGUGACCGGCCACAUUGGGACUGAGAUACGGCCCAGACUCCUACGGGAGGCAGCAGUGGGGAAUAUUGCACGAUGGGCGGAAGCCUGAUGCAGCAACGCCGCGUGCGGGAUGACGGCCUUCGGGUUGUAAACCGCUUUCGCCUGUGACGAAGCGUGAGUGACGGUAAUGGGUAAAGAAGCACCGGCUAACUACGUG
rnacentral:rRNA from 1 species